AUUGAACGCUGGCGGCAGGCCUAACACAUGCAAGUCGAGCGGAGCGGCGGACGGGUGAGUAAUGCCUAGGAAUCUGCCUGGUAGUGGGGGAUAACGUCCGGAAACGGGCGCUAAUACCGCAUACUAUCAGAUGAGCCUAGGUCGGAUUAGCAAGUUGGUGGGGGAAAGGCCUACCCAGGCGACGAUCCGUAACUGGUCUGAGAGGAUGAUCAGCCACACUGGAACUGAGAAACGUGCCAGACUCCUACGGGAGGCAGCAGUGGGGAAUAUUGGACAAGGGGCGAAAGCCUGAUCCAGCCAUGCCGCGUGUGUGAAGAAGGGCUUCGGAUUGUAAAGCACUUUAAGUUGGGAGGCGUUACCCGCAGAAGAAGCACCGGCUAACUCCGUGCCAGCAGCCGCGGUAAUAC
rnacentral:rRNA from 1 species